rnacentral:rRNA from 1 species
GGCGAACGCUGGCGGCGUGCAUAACACAUGCAAGUGGAGCGACCGGUGAAACCUUUGGGUUUCAGCUUAAACCGGGAGCCGCGAACGGGUGAGUAACACGUGGGCAAUCUGCCCCGUCGAUUGGGAUAGCCCGGGGAAACCCGGAUUAAUACCGAAUGUGAUCGCCUCCCUGGGGGGCGGUGAGGAAAGGAAGCUUCGGCCUCCGCGACGGGAUGAGCCCGCGACCGAUUAGCUUGUUGGUAAGGUAACGGCUUACCAAGGCGACGAUCGGUAGCUGGUCUGAGAGGACGAUCAGCCACACUGGGACUGAGACACGGCCCAGACUCCUACGGGAGGCUGCAGUGGGGAAUCUUGCGCAAUGAGCGAAAGCUUGACGCAGCAACGCCGCGUGAGGGAAGACGGCCUUCGGGUUGUAAACCUCUUUCAGGGAAGAGUAAGGCUCGUGAGUUAAGAGCUCACCGGGUUGAAGGUAUUCCCAGAAGAAGCACCGGCUAACUACGUGCCAGCCGCCGCUGUAA